UCGUGUCGUAARAWUGUUGGGCUAAGUCCCGCAACGAGCGCAACCCUYGCCCUUAGUUGCCAGCAUUCAGUUGGGCACUCUAAGGGGACUGCCGGUGAUAAGCCGAGAGGAAGGUGGGGAUGACGUCAAGUCCUCAUGGCCCUUACGGGCUGGGCUACACACGUGCUACAAUGGUGGUGACAGUGGGCAGCGAGCACGCGAGUGUGAGCUAAUCUCCAAAAGCCAUCUCAGUUCGGAUUGCACUCUGCAACUCGAGUGCAUGAAGUUGGAAUCGCUAGUAAUCGCGGAUCAGCAUGCCGCGGUGAAUACGUUCCCGGGCCUUGUACACACCGCCCGUCACACCAUGGGAGUUGGUUUUACCCGAAGGCGCUGUGCUAACCGCAAGGAGGCAGGCGACCACGGUAGGGUCAGCGACUGGGGUGAAGUCGUAACAAGGUAGCCGUAGGGGAACCUGCGGCUGGAUCACCUCCUUA
rnacentral:rRNA from 2 species